GGUGGCUCAGUGGUAGAGUGCUUGCUUCAUAUGCAUGACGCCCUGGGUUCAAUUCCUCAGCACCA
rnacentral:tRNA from 1 species